AUUGAACGCUGGCGGCAGGCCUAACACAUGCAAGUCGAGCGGAGCGGCGGACGGGUGAGUAAUGCCUAGGAAUCUGCCUGGUAGUGGGGGAUAACGUCCGGAAACGGGCGCUAAUACCGCAUACUAGCAGAUGAGCAUAGGUCGGAUUAGCUAGUUGGUGGGGUAAAGGCCUACCAAGGAGACGAUCAGUAGCUGGUCUGAGAGGAUGAUCAGCCACACUGGAACUGAGACACGGUCCAGACUCCUACGGGAGGCAGCAGUGGGGAAUAUUGGACAAUGGGCGAAAGCCUGAGCCAGCCAUGCCGCGUGUGUGAAGAAGGUCUUCGGAUUGUAAAGCACUGUAAGUUGGGAGGCGUUACCAACAGAAGAAGCACCGGCUAACUUCGUGCCAGCAGCCGCGGUAAUAC
rnacentral:rRNA from 1 species